CCUACGGGUGGCAGCAGUGAGGAAUAUUGGUCAAUGGGCGCGAGACUGAACCAGCCAAGCCGCGUGAAGGAUGACUGCCCAACGGGUUGUAAACUUCUUUUAUAAAGGAAUAAAGUGAGGCACGUGUGCCUUUUUGUAUGUACUUUAUGAAUAAGGAUCGGCUAACUCCGUGCCAGCAGCCGCGGUAAUACGGAGGAUCCGAGCGUUAUCCGGAUUUAUUGGGUUUAAAGGGAGCGUAGACGGGUUGUUAAGUCAGGUGUGAAAGUGUUGGGCUCAACCGUAAAAUUGCAAUUGAGACUGGCAGUCUUGAGUACAUGUGAGGUAGGCGGAAUUCGUGGUGUAGCGGUGAAAUGCUUAGAUAUCGCGAAGAACUCCGAUUGCGAAGGCAGCUUACUAAACUGCCACUGACAUUGAGGCUCGAAAGUGUGGGUAUCAAACAGGAUUAGAUACCCGAGUAGUC
rnacentral:rRNA from 1 species